AUAUGGAGGAAAACAUAAUUAGUCUUCAGUUAUAAUGUGGAUAUGAAGAUAAGCUUGAGAAAUCCAAGUUUGCUAUGGAAUAUGAGAUGGAAACAUAAAUGUUUUCCCUUCACUUGGUUAAUGUUUCAUUCAGUCUUGGAAACAUUCCACUGCCUGACCCUCAUCUUUUCAGGACGAGUCGAAGGUCAUGGUUCAGAGGAGAAGGAGUUUGUUAACAGCAGGUUGUCUUCAAGCCGGAGGGAGGCUGUUUCUCUUUAAUAACAAGGGGUUGCUGCUGCUGUCAGCUAGCCAAUAAUGUCUACUCCAGCCAUCAAACAGGAUCACAAAAGAUUCAAGAUAG